GGGCCAACGGUGACAUCCUAGCUUAAAAAGCCUGAGGAUGUGGGUUGGAUACCGCUGGCUACCCUUUUCGAUUCCUGCUUUCUGUGAAUUGGAUUCCUGUUCCUCACGUCAGCGACCACCACUUGGCAAUUGUCAUUCAUACUUUGUUUGGAGGACCUAGGAAAUGGUGUCCUCAUCAACAGGGAUGUCCUCGGCCGUCUGCACAGUACCUUUAAGAAUGAUGCAUGCAAAUUCGCACGCAAUCUCACUCGUGCCCUAUUUCAUAGUGAGGAAUAGAAGAAUAGGUCGCUGUAUGGAAGGAAGUCUAAUGUAAAGAAGGAAGCAGAAGUCAAGUCGACACUAGACGGCACACGGCUAGAGGCUAUACUGAACUACACGUCCAGUAAGUAUGGGGCAUCAGUGGCUGCUAUAAAGAGGAGCCUCGCCUCUAUGCUGCUUGAGCUGAGUGACUCACAACAGUG